UACGUAGGGUGCAAGCGUUAAUCGGAAUUACUGGGCGUAAAGCGUGCGCAGGCGGUUUUGUAAGUCUGACGUGAAAUCCCCGGGCUCAACCUGGGAAUUGCGUUGGAGACUGCAAGGCUAGAAUCUGGCAGAGGGGGGUAGAAUUCCACGUGUAGCAGUGAAAUGCGUAGAGAUGUGGAGGAACACCGAUGGUGAAGGCAGCCCCCUGGGUCAAGAUUGACGCUCAUGCACGAAAGCGUGGGGAGCGAACAGG
rnacentral:rRNA from 1 species